GACGAACGCUGGCGGCGUGCCUAACACAUGCAAGUCGAACGGGGUUGAGAGCUUCGGCUCUUAACUUAGUGGCGAACGGGUGAGUAACGCGUGAAGAACCUGCCUUUCAGUGGGGGACAACAGUUGGAAACGACUGCUAAUACCGCAUAACAUAGUUGAACCGCAUGAUUUAACUAUCAAAGCUUUAUGUGCUGAAAGAUGGCUUCGCGUCUGAUUAGCUAGAUGGCGGGUAACGGCCCACCAUGGCGACGAUCAGUAGCCGGUCUGAGAGGAUGAACGGCCACAUUGGGACUGAGAUACGGCCCAGACUCCUACGGGAGGCAGCAGUGGGGAAUAUUGGGCAAUGGGGGAAACCCUGACCCAGCAACGCCGCGUGAAGGAAGAAGGCUUUCGGGUUGUAAACUCUUUUACCAGGGACGAAGAACGUGACGGUACCUGGAGAAAAAAGCAACGGCUAACUACGUG
rnacentral:rRNA from 1 species